rnacentral:lncRNA from 1 species
UUUUAGAGAGAUUAGAAACCUUUUUUUCUUUUAAAUUUGCAAGGAUCACUUGAGAAUAAGCAUUCUAAUACCCUUUGAGCGCCCCCCCCCCCCCCCCCCAAAAAAAAAGUCAAAAAACACUAAGUCUGUUCUAAUAGCAAGAGCCAUUGCGCUUACGAUUCUUCAUGAAGCAUUUUGAAACACGCUGUAAUUUGGACUUCCGAGCUCUAGGUUCAUGGAGAACCUGAGAUGAGAGGACUUGUAAUUUGUAUCCGAGUGGGGUAGCUUAGCUCUUGUAAUAUUCUUCUCACUGUUGACAAUUGGUAGGUCGAAAGGUGGACAAGUGGUGAUUGUUAUCCUUUCUAUGAUUUUGUACUUUUUGUAUCCAUGUGAAAAUAUAUAGUAUUGUACAAAUUUUUGUGAUUUUGGUGUACGCAUGGUUCGGGCUGCUGUACAAGUGAAGAAAUGCAUGGUUGUUUUCUUAGGCCAUUUUUUUUAUUUUUUUUGCUGUUGCUCUCUUAUGCCAUGAUGGAGGUGCUGACGUUAAUGAAGUUUUCCAAAUUUUCAUUUAGUAUUCCUGCUGCCUUUUCAAUCUUAUGGUUAAUUCCUGAUGCCUUUUUGAUCCUAUGGUUGUUUUCUAUUUUCUUAUAUUUUUAAAUUUGAAAGAGGAUUUGAUAACUGUUAAUGAGCAUUUGAUGACUCUAAUGACAAUGAGAAUGGUUGUUUUCUAUUUUCUUUUAGAUAGAAUUGAAAAAAUUGUAAAUGAGCAUUUGAUAACUGGUGAUUUUAUGGUGGGCCCUAUUGAAAAUGGUUGUUUUCUAUUUUCCUUUAGAUGGAAUUGAACAAAUUGUGUACGUUUAAUUUUCAUUGAACUCCCAGCGCAUUUUGUGUUAUUUCACAUUCCGUUUUCAUUUUGUGUUCAUGGAAAAUGAAAAUCUUGUUUGGCAGCCUCAAAUGACUCUUGAUAUUUUUAAAGGAACUUCUUUCAAAUUAGACCACAAAUUCAUUUUACUUUAUUAUUAGGUUAUAAAUUGUGUUUGUAAAUGCACAAAAAAUAAUUCAAGAGCGUAAUGUAAGGAGUAAUAAGCCAAUGCACCGUCUCCAUCUCCUCGCUUAAUGGGAACACAAAAUAUGAUGUGUUCUUUCCUUCCCCAUGUGUUAGUUUGGGUCUUCAGACCGGUUUUAUCGUCUUUUGUGAAUCAUUUGGGGAGCAACUUUCGGAUUCAUAAAAGAAUUAGGAGGGAUAAGUUUACUUAGUAAUAUGUUUUUUAAACUUUUAUGUAGGAGUGGAUAUUUUGGAAAGACGUCUUACAACGAUACAAUGGAAAGAUACUGAGGUAAUUGAAGUUAUUAUUUAAAUUGUGGUUUUGUUUAGUAUUGUUGGGC